rnacentral:rRNA from 1 species
ACUCCUACGGGAGGCAGCAGUGGGGAAUAUUGCACAAUGGGGGAAACCCUGAUGCAGCCAUGCCGCGUGUGUGAAGAAGGCCUUCGGGUUGUAAAGCACUUUCAGUAGGGAGGAAGGUAGUGUAGUUAACACCUGCAUUAUUUGACGUUACCUACAGAAGAAGCACCGGCUAACUCCGUGCCAGCAGCCGCGGUAAUACGGAGGGUGCGAGCGUUAAUCGGAAUUACUGGGCGUAAAGCGCAUGCAGGCGGCCUGUUAAGUCAGAUGUGAAAGCCCGGGGUCUUAACCUCGGAAUUGCAUUUGAAACUGGCAGGCUAGAGUCUUGUAGAGGGGGUUAGAAUUUCAGGUGUAGCGGUGAAAUGCGUAGAGAUCUGAAGGAAUACCGAGUGGCGAACGGCGGCCCCCUGGACAAAGACUGACGCUCAGAUGCGAAAGCGUGGGAGCAAACAGGAUUAGAUACCCCGUGGUAGACUGUCA